rnacentral:rRNA from 1 species
UCGUGGAGCGAUUUGUCUGGUUUAUUCCGUUAACGAACGAGACCGCUACCUGCUAAAUAGUUCGGUCUAGGGUUCGCUCUAGAUACGUGACUUCUUAGAGGGACUACUGGUGUGUAGCCAGUGGAAGUUAGCGGCGAUAACA